AAAGGCGUAAUGAAAGUGAAGGCUCGCCUAGCGCGAACCGAGGGAGGAUGGGUGUCCCCGAGGGGACGCCUCGCACUCCCAGGGCGUCUCGUUCUCAUUGCGAGAAGAGGCGCACCAAGAGCGUACACGCUGGGACCCGAAAGAUGGUGAACUAUGCCUGGUCAGGACGAAGUCAGGGGAAACCCUGAUGGAGGUCCGUAGCGAUUCUGACGUGCAAAUCGAUCGUCGGAACUGGGUAUAGGGGCGAAAGACUAAUCGAACCAUCUAGUAGCUGGUUCCCUCCGAAGUUUCCCUCAGGAUAGCUGGCGCUCGCUUCUCGCGAGUCUCAUUCGGUAAAGCGAAUGAUUAGAGGCAUUGGGGUCGAAACGGCCUCAACCUAUUCUCAAACUUUAAAUGGGUGAGAUCUCCGGCUUGCUUGAACUGUGAAGCCGCGAGAUAUCGGAUCAGAGUGCCAAGUGGGCCACUUUUGGUAAGCAGAACUGGCGCUGUGGGAUGAACCAAACGCUGAGUUAAAGCGCCUAAAUCGACGCUUAUGGGA
rnacentral:rRNA from 1 species